rnacentral:rRNA from 1 species
AUGAUGCAGUACGCCAUGGAUCCCUACGCGGGCGCCUUUGCUCGACCUCCGCCAACCGGCUUCUUAGGCGUCGGAUCCUGUGCUCGGGCCGCCAACAGGCCUGCUCGUCGACCACCGCCUCCAGGCUUGUUCGGCAUCGGAUCUUGCUUCCGCCCGGCUGCCGACGUGCCAGCUCGUCGACCUCCGCCUCCCGGUUUCUUCGGUGCACGCCGUCCCAGGGUGCUCCCGCCAGCGCCGUGCGAGGUACCCAUGCCACCAAAGUUCUCAAAGCCCACGGCGCCGGCACCAGCGCCGGUUUCCUGCGUCGCCGCCGCCUCCACAAAGCUUCAGCGGCUGUGCCCUGACUACGCAGACGACAUCGACCACAACCUCCGGUUGACAGAGAAGAACGCCGAUGAGCGGCCGCUACCGGACUACCUGACGAAGGUGCAGCAGGAUCGGGUGACCGAGUCAGCGCGCGCCUCCCUCGUCGGAUGGAUGGACAAGUUCGCCCGAGACCAUGAUCUCGCCGACGGCACGCUCCACCACGCCGUCGCCUACGUCGACCGGGUCCUGUCGGUGCGAGCCUUGACGACUGACAGUGGCUACGAGCUACGACUCCUGGGUGCCGCGGCCGUCUUUGUCGCCGCCAAAUACGAGGACCGGAAAGCCGUGUGGAAGCUGAAGGCCGACCAGAUCGCCAGGUACGGCGAGUUCGCCGCGGGCAAGGAGGUGCUCGACAUGGAGCGCGAGAUGGUGGAGGCGCUCGGGUACCAACUCGGCGGCCCCACGGCGCACACCUUCCUGGGCCACUUCAUGAGGUACGCCGAGGGGGAGGACAAGACCAGGAUCCUGCCAUUGGCGACUCGCCUCGUUGAUCACUCUCUGCUCAACUACACGUGCCUCCGCAUCUUGCCGUCCGUCGUGGCGGCGUCCGCGAUCUUCCUCGCGAGGCGGACCCUGAAUCCGCCCGACGUCCUCGCGUGGAACACGGAGCUGACGGAGCUGACGGGUUACAACUGCUCGGACAUGACAGCCUGCGUGCUUAAUAUGUUCUUCUUCUCGCGCUCGCUCAUCUGUAGCCCUCCUUCUUGA